GGUGAUAACUUGAAAAAAUAAGAGGGGGGAAAUCGAAAUUAUUGGUCAGAGUCCUGAUAAUCUCACGAUUUGAAGACAAAGUUUUGAGAGAUAAUCUAUGAGUUUUGAAACUCAGUUUGAUCUUGAACACUUAUCUCUGAAGGAUUUUAGCUCUCUAUAAAUUAGAGGUAGACAGUGAACAAUGAGGGAAUCAUCAGCAAACAACACAACAAUUACACAAGAAAAAAAAAAACCAGAUAGCAAUCCUCACAGAAACACAGGAACAACAAAUAUGGCAAUCAGAGAGAAAGUAAUCUAACAAUACACAGUAACUAAUAUCCCAAUCCCAGCCAAAAUCACGGUGCCAACCUCGACUACCUUGCCGCCCUAUCAUCUGACCUUCACAAAAUCAAUACCUCUCGAAACCAACAAACUUAGGUCUUGCAUAUAGAGAAGAAAUGGCCCCAACCAACAAUCAACCACCACCAGCCACAACCAAGCAACAAUAACCCCACAAUCUAGGAAAGCAAACCACCGAAGCAGAAGCUAAAACAGCCCUUCCAUCGUCGACAGCCUCACUAGCCACAAAAAGUAUGAGCCCCACCAAAAUCCAAUGUCAAGAAGCCAUAAAAAGAAAGAAGCAAAAGUCAGAAACAGAAACCCAGAAACAAAAAAAAAAAAAAAGAUUUUUUGGGUUUUGGUUCGAUUUUUCUUUAAGUGAUCGGAGCAAGGAGAGUUGCUCUUGAGGUUGGGUCCGUGACUCAAAACUGGAUCUACGCGAAUUUCAUAACAUUUUGAGAAAUCGAACUAGAGCACGCGAAAAAGAAGCUCGCUACUUUAGCUUUAGAUCUAGGCCAUUUGAGGAAGAUUUUCGAGAAUUCGACCUUAAAUUCGAAACCGUGAGGUUAUUGGGAGCUUUCGGGUGGAUAUCGAGCUCCAACGGUGGUCAGUCGUGGCUACUUGUGGUGGUACACAACGGCGGCAUGUGGUGGUUAUUCAUCAAAAUCUGGGAAAUGAAGAAACUUGGUCGAUUUUUGUCACUGGUAGAGAGAGAAUGGAGGAAGCGGCCGUUAGAGAGAGAGAGAGAGAGAGACAAAAUGAAAAAAUGAAAAAAAAUAAACAAAGGACGAAUUUUAUACAAUUAAUAAAACGACAUCAUAUUUGGCAAGGAAAGCCAGUUCCUUUUUUACCCGUUUCAAGGGUUUGCACGCCAGCUCAUCUGAAGAUCUGACCCAACCGCAAUCUGCCUGCUGAGCCAAUCCAACUCUGAGCCAUUGAAGCCGCGCCAUUGAGCUGAGGAGCCGAUUCUUUCUAGCUUCUAAACAAUUAGAC
rnacentral:lncRNA from 1 species